GUAACGCGUAUCCAACCUUCCCCAUAGUAGGGCAUAGCCCGUAGAAAUGCGGAUUAAUACCCUAUGUAUUCCGAGGAUGACAUCUGAUUCGGACAAAGGUUCACCGCUAUGGGAUGGGGGAUGCGUCUGAUUAGGUAGUAGGCGGGGUAACGGCCCACCUAGCCGACGAUCAGUAGGGUCUGAGAGGAAGGUCCCCCACAUUGGAACUGAGACACGGUCCAAACUCCUACGGGAGGCAGCAGUGAGGAAUAUUGGUCAAUGGGCGAGAGCCUGAACCAGCCAAGUAGCGUGCAGGAUGACGGCCCUAUGGGUUGUAAACUGCUUUUAUACAGGGAUAAAGUCGGGGACGCGUUCCCCGUUUGCAGGUACUGUAUGAAUAAGGACCGGCUAAUUCCGUGCCAGCAGCCGC
rnacentral:rRNA from 1 species